rnacentral:rRNA from 1 species
AUACGUAGGGUGCAAGCGUUAAUCGGAAUUACUGGGCGUAAAGCGUGCGCAGGCGGUUUUGUAAGACAGGGGUGAAAUCCCCGGGCUCAACAUGGGAACUGCCAUUGAGACUGCAAGGCCGGAGUGCGGCAGAGGGGGAUGGAAUUCCGCGUGUAGCAGUGAAAUGCGUCGAUAUGCGGAGGAACACCGAAGGCGAAGGCAAUCCCCUGGGCCUGUACUGACGCUCAUGCACGAAAGCGUGGGGAGCAAACAGGAUUAGAUGCCCGGGUAGUCCACGCCCUAAACGAUGUCAACUGUUUGUUGGGUCUUCAUGGACUCAGAAACGAGGCUAACGCGUGAAGUUGACCGCCUGGGGAGUACGGCCGCAAGGUUGAAACUCAAAUGAAUUGACGGGU